CAUUAAGUGGCUGAAAAGUUACAAGCAUUGGUCUCUUAAACCAAAAAAUAGUAAAUAACAAAUACUCUUAAUGG
rnacentral:tRNA from 1 species